rnacentral:rRNA from 1 species
GACGAACGCUGGCGGCGUGCUUAACACAUGCAAGUCGAACGGAAAGGCCCUGCUUUUGUGGGGUGCUCGAGUGGCGAACGGGUGAGUAACACGUGAGUAACCUGCCCUUGACUUUGGGAUAACUUCAGGAAACUGGGGCUAAUAACGGAUAGGAGCUCCUGCUGCAUGGUGGGGGUUGGAAAGUUUCGGCGGUUGGGGAUGGACUCGCGGCUUAUCAGCUUGUUGGUGGGGUAGUGGCUUACCAAGGCUUUGACGGGUAGCCGGCCUGAGAGGGUGACCGGCCACAUUGGGACUGAGAUGCGGCCCAGACUCCUACGGGAGGCAGCAGUGGGGAAUAUUGCACAAUGGGCGGAAGCCUGAUGCAGCAACGCCGCGUGCGGGAUGACGGCCUUCGGGUUGUAAACCGCUUUCGCCUGUGACGAAGCGUGAGUGACGGUAAUGGGUAAAGAAGCACCGGCUAACUACGUG